GUCGAAGUGGCGGAAUCGGCAGACGCGCACGUUUGAGGGGCGUGUGGGUAACACCGUGAGGGUUCAAGUCCCUCCUUCGACA
rnacentral:tRNA from 1 species